rnacentral:rRNA from 1 species
CCUACGGGGGGCAGCAGUGAGGAAUAUUGGUCAAUGGGCUUACGCCUGAACCAGCCAAGUCGCGUGAGGGAUGACUGCCCUAUGGGUUGUAAACUUCUUUUGUCAGGGAGCAAUUGGCUCUACGUGUAGCCUUAUCGAGAGUACCUGAAGAAAAAGCAUCGGCUAACUCCGUGCCAGCAGCCGCGGUAAUACGGAGGAUGCGAGCGUUAUCCGGAUUUAUUGGGUUUAAAGGGUGCGUAGGCGGAAUAUCAAGUCAGCGGUAAAAUUUCGGGGCUCAACCUCGUUGUGCCGUUGAAACUGGUGUUCUUGAGUGGGCGAGAAGUAUGCGGAAUGCGUGGUGUAGCGGUGAAAUGCAUAGAUAUCACGCAGAACUCCGAUUGCGAAGGCAGCAUACCGGCGCCCAACUGACGCUGAAGCACGAAAGCGUGGGUAUCGAACAGGAUUAGAUACCCCAGUAGUC